AAGGGCGCACGGUGGAUGCCUUGGCACUAGGAGCCGAAGAAGGACGGGACUAACACCGAUAUGCUUUGGGGAGCUGUACGUAAGCGUUGAUCCAGAGAUUUCCGAAUGGGGGAACCCACUAUCUUUAGUCGGAUAGUAUCCUUACGUGAAUACAUAGCGUAAGGAAGGCAGACCCAGGGAACUGAAACAUCUAAGUACCUGGAGGAAGAGAAAGAAAAAUCGAUUUCCUGAGUAGCGGCGAGCGAAACGGAAAGAGCCCAAACCAAGAAGCUUGCUUCUUGGGGUUGUAGGACACUCUAUACGGAGUUACAAAAGAAAGUUAUAAAUGAAGCGGUCUGGAAAGGCCCGCCAAAGACGGUAACAGCCCGGUAGUUGAAAUGGCUUUCCCUCCAGAGUGGAUCCUGAGUACGGCGGAACACGUGAAAUUCCGUCGGAAUCCGGGAGGACCAUCUCCCAAGGCUAAAUACUCCCUAGUGACCGAUAGUGAACCAGUACCGUGAGGGAAAGGUGAAAAGCACCCCGGAAGGGGAGUGAAACAGUUCCUGAAACCGUGUGCCUACAAGUAGUUAGAGCCCGUUAAUGGGUGAUAGCGUGCCUUUUGUAGAAUGAACCGGCGAGUUACGAUUUGUUGCAAGGUUAAGCGGAAAAAGCGGAGCCGUAGCGAAAGCGAGUCUGAAUAGGGCGCAUAAGUAACAGGUCGUAGACCCGAAACCAGGUGAUCUACCCAUGUCCAGGAUGAAGGUAAGGUAAUACUUACUGGAGGUCCGAACCCACGCACGUUGAAAAGUGCGGGGAUGAGGUGUGGGUAGCGGAGAAAUUCCAAUCGAACUUGGAGAUAGCUGGUUCUCUCCGAAAUAGCUUUAGGGCUAGCCUCGAGGUAAAGAGUCAUGGAGGUAGAGCACUGUUUGGACUAGGGGCCCUUCUCGGGUUACCGAAUUCAGAUAAACUCCGAAUGCCAUGUACUUAUACUCGGGAGUCAGACUGCGAGUGAUAAGAUCCGUAGUCGAAAGGGAAACAGCCCAGACCACCAGUUAAGGUCCCCAAAUAUAUGUUAAGUGGAAAAGGAUGUGGGGUUGCUUAGACAACCAGGAUGUUGGCUUAGAAGCAGCCACCAUUGAAAGAGUGCGUAAUAGCUCACUGGUCGAGUGACCCCGCGCCGAAAAUGUACCGGGGCUAAACAUAUUA
rnacentral:rRNA from 1 species